rnacentral:lncRNA from 1 species
GGAAAGGGGUGAGAUUAUGCAGGAAAAUUCACUAGUUUUAUACACUUUCUAUGGAACAAUUACAGUAUGCUAUACAUCGUGUUUUGCAUCAGGGGGAAAACUAAGCCUGUAAUUCCGUGCUUAGAAGGCUCAGAGAAAAUGUACUGUUGAUGUGAACCAUAGUGUUGUCAGUGAAAUAAACACAAGACAAAAUACAGAGGCAGAAACUUCAAGACUCUAUGUCCAAUUGAAAAGUAAGAAGUUCUGACAAAAACUGAGAUGUUGAGCUUCAAUAACUGAGAUAUAAAUGAUACAAACCAAAAUAGAAAAUGUGAUGACCAGGAGACAUACUGAAUUUAAUCUAUUGGUGAUUAAAUUGUAUAGGGAAUUUUUAACAGGCAUUUGAACAUCAAGAUCUAGAAUUUGGUAAAGAGUACUGUAGAGAAAACAGUAAGAUAAUUAAGAAUCAUCUAGUAAGGCAGAAAAUAAAACUGUGUGUAUGCAUCAGAUGGCAGAGAAGAAGCACUUAAAAACAGAGAAGGUAAACCAGGAGAGUAUAAAUAUUCAUUUGUUUAUUCAUUAAAUAACUACUUAAUUUUAAGAAAGUGAGAGGUUUAAGUGCAAGUAGCUGCCAAGUAGACUAAUGUAUCCUACUAAUGAAUCCUCCCAAGACAGUGUAUACUACUAAGAAAUAAUUGGUGACUUUUAAAGUAAGCAUUCUUGGCAAAUGAAGGCAUUCAAGCUAAUUUGCAGUGAGAUAAAAAGAAGGAACAACGAAGAAAGUGAAGGCAACAAGGUAGUAUUUUUUUCUACAUAUUGUGUGAAAAAUCUUAAGAAACUUUCAUUUCACAGGUCGAAAUGAAAGUUGUCAUGGCUAAAGAAAAAUGGGAGGAUAACUUAGGUGGGUCAACAAAGAUAGUUUAGUAUUUCGGUUCCAGGGAGAAUUCUUUCUUAUAUGUGAGACACGUACCUUGGUUUUUAAACAUUAUUUUUGUAAAGACUGUCUUCAUAAUUUUGUAGGUUACCUUCCUUUUCAGAGCAGAGCAACACUAUAAGAUCCUUGACAUUUUUAAGGAUGCUAACGAGCCAAGUAGAUGCUUGUAUCUUGAGGAUAGGCAUCUGGCCAAUGGUCAUGAAAUUGCAGGGCUUAUCAAAUUCUGUCCUUGGAUCCCAGUGAAAAGUGAAAUAUCCCUAACUGAUCUUUGGGAUACUAAAAUUCAUGCUUUAGCAGUAUGGAAAAGUAUUAAAGAGCUUUAUUAGGUUACAACUAGUUUUACCCAAUCUAAAAAGUUACCUUGCACCUAAGUAAAGAAGAUUAUUUAUGUAAUUAUCUGCACAUAUGUCCCCA